rnacentral:tRNA from 1 species
GCCUUUAUGGCUCAGUGGUAGAGCGCCAGUCUAGUAAACUGGAGGUCCGCAGUUCGAUCCUGCGUGGAGGCA